AAGGAGCAAGGACAAAAUAUCAACCUGGACGCGAACAUAAAGUAACAAACCAGAAAACCUGGACUGGGACUUGACUGAGAACUCAGGUCUUGGCUGGGACGCUCUUUGACUAGAACUCGUGCUUGGCUUGACGACGGCUCCUCGGUAGAGAUCGUUAAGAGCACCAAAUUUCUUGGUGUUCACCUGGCAGAGAAUCUCACCUGGUCCCUCAACACCAGCUCCAUAGCAAAGAAAGCCCAACAGCGUCUCUACUUUCUGCGAAGGCUGAGGAAAGUCCAUCUCCCACCACACACCCACCCCCCAUCCUCAUCGCAUUCUACAGGGGUUGUAUUGAGAGCAUCCUGAGCAGCUGCAUCACUGCCUGGUUUGGAAAUUGCACCAUCUCGGAUCGCAAGACCCUGCAGUAGAUAGUGAGGUCAGCUGAGAAGAUCAUCGGGGUCCCUUUUCCUGCCAUCAUGGACAUCGACACUACACUCUGCAUCCGCAAGGGAAACAGCAUUAUGAAGGACCCCGUGCACCCCUCAUACAAUCUCUUCUCCCUCCUGCCGUCUGGGAUAAGGCUCCAAAGUAUUUGGGCUCUCACGACCAGACUAUAUAACAGUUUCUUCCCCUAAGCUAUCAGACUCCUCAAUACCCAGAGCCUGGACUGACACCUUGCCCUAUUGUCCUGUUUAUUAUUUAUUGUAAUGCCUGCACUGUUUUUGUGCACUUUAUGCAGUCCAGUGUAGGUCUGUAGUCUAGUGUAGCUUUCUCUGUGUUGUUUUUUUUAACGUAGUUCAGUCUAGUUUUUGUACUGUGUCAUGUAACACCAUGAUCCUAAAAAACGUCUCAUUUUUACUAUGCACAGUGCCAGCAGUUAUGGUCGAAAUGACAAUAAAAGUGACUUGACUUGACUUGACUUGAGAUUCAGACUUGACUAGACUUGGACUUUUCUUGGACACAGACCCGGGACUCAACCGUGGACACAGGACACAGAGCUGAGACUCUUCUUGGACACAGGACACAGAGCCGGGACUCUCCUUGGCCACUGGACACAGAGCUGGGACCUUUCCUGGACACAGGACACAGAGCCGGGACUCUCCUUGGACACAGGACACAGAGCUGGGACCUUUCCUGGACACAGGACACAGAGCCGGGACUCUCCUUGGACACAGGACACAGAGCUGGGACUCUCCUUGGACACAGGACACAGAGCCGGGACCUUUCCUGGACACAGGACACAGAGUCAGGACUCUUCUUGGACACAGGGCUUGGACCCUUCUUGGAUGCCGGACACAGAGCCGGGACCUUUUUUGGCCACAGGACACAGAGCUGGGACCUUUCCUGGACACAGGACACAGAGUCAGGACUCUUCUUGGAUGCAGGACACAGAGCCGGGACCUUUUUUGGCCACUGGACACAGAGCUGGGACCCUUCUUGGUAUGAGUUUCUGAUGCUGAGCUUCCUGAUGUGGGUUUCGGAUGCUGAGUUUCCUGGUGCAGGUUUCUGACAGGGAUGGUCCAGCAAAGGAAUAGCUGGACCCCUGAGCUAUUUAUGUUGCAAGCCUGAAAUGAGGAUCAGCUGCCUCAAUUAAGGCACCCAAUGGAACAAGGGAAAACAGAAACAACCAGAAUACGGAAUCCACGGACCAGACCGUGAACCGGAAUGCGGACCUUACGGACCGUUACAGCUGCUUGUUCUCAAUCAGUAACAUGUGUGAAUCAGGCAGAACAGAUACAGACUCCAACAGUCAAAAACCUGCAUGUUCCAUCCAACCAAAGGACAUCUCACAAAUAACUUCUUAUCUGGAAAUGACCUCUAGUCCAGCAGAUUACCUGAGGCAUCAUUAUAUUGACUUUAAAACACUGAUCAAGCCAAGUGACUAACUCACAAAAUGAAGAAUCUCUUCAUAAAAUGGUAGCCUCCAUCUCCUCCCUCCUGGCAAGAACAAAGGUAAUUGGUCUGUCUGCUUCCAGUGCCCUUAAUUCAUUUGAACUCACUGCUUUGCUGACUGUAGUUCUUUCUGGCCAACAAACCCAAUCAAAAGAUAAUAAUAAAGACCAAUACCCAAUGCGCAAGAGAAAGAGGGAAAGAACACAAACCAUGCAAGCAAAAGAAGCGAGCAUCAACAUUCUGAAUUGGGUUGAGUCCUCAGAUCCAAACUCCACAGUAGGCCCAAAGCCUCAGUAUAUUAUCAGGCACAGAGCACAGCAGCCUGGGCAAUCUUCAUAGCCUCAGCACCAUGAUGAGAGGAGUGAACAUCGCAGAGAGUGAGUGAAAUUGGCUCUCAACUCUGAUCCCAAGAUGCCUGGCCAGUGUGCAAACUGUCCAGACAGCUUAAUGUACCUCGCAUUAGGACCUGGAAACCACUGCUGCGAAGGGCUCCGGGCCAAGACCAUGCCGCCCAACAGCUUGCUCCGGGCUCAGAUUUUGCCACUCUCAAACUCUUAAAAUCGGCUCGGCAGCCAGACUAUCCAACCUCGCACCCAGGCCAGUUGUACAGGCAUCAGAACUCCUCCGCCCAACUUCUCCUUUCUGAAUGGCGGCUCACUCCGUUUGUGUCAAUUCUGCAACACACCAGCACAGCUCAUCCCCGAACUUGUUUCGCUUUCACUUGCCACUUCAUUGCUAGUGGUGAUAAUUUACAACAAUUUACUACAGAAAAGGUGUUGUUAGUAAUGUUUUUAGUCAAAUUUCUUGCCUUUUGAACUACCAGUGGAAUGUCGCAUACGCUCAGUAGUGCCAUCUUAACCGGAAAGUUUGCAAACAAUAUGAAGAGAGGUGAAGGGGCAAAUAGUUUUGAGGAAGUAGAGAAGCUGCAGAAGGACUGAGACAGAUUAGGAGAAUGGGCAAGGAAGUGGCAGAUGGAAUACAGUGUUAAGAAGUGUAUGGUUGUGCACUUUGGUAGAAGAAGUAAAAGGGUAGACUAUUUUCUAAAUGGAGGAAAUACUUGGAACUCCUUGUACAGGAUUCCCUAAAGGAAAAUUUGCAGGUUGAGUCUGUGGUGAGAAAGGCAAAUGUGAUGUUAGCAUUCAUUUUAAGAGGAUUAGAAUAUAAAAGCAAGGAGGUAAUGAUGAAGCUUUAUAAAGCACUGGUGAGGCCUCACUUAGAGUAUUGUCAGCAGUUUGGGCCCCAUAUCUUAGAAAGGAUGUGCUGAAACUGGAGAGGGUUCAAAGGAGGUUCACAAAAUGAUUCCAGGAUUGAACGGCGUAUCAUAUGAAGAGCAUUUGAUGGCUCUGGGCCUGUAUUCACUGGAAUUCAGAAGAAUGAGGGGUGACCUAAGAAGGCAGAACGGAGUGGUGAUGACACUAAAUGGCGACUCCUUUGCUUGCAUGUUCGUAAACAGUUCCAUUUCCAUCUUUUUUCCCUUUCAGGGUUCUUUUGAAGACCCUGUCCUGGAGUUACACGCUGACUACAGUUCUUUGCGGGAAUGGGAUCCGCUGUCAGGGUUUCAUAAGCAGCCGUCGUUGUUCGGCACACUGAGGGCUCGGCCUAAGAGUCUGGCUCAAAUUUGGAAGCCUAGGAUCUUGGGGCUCUGGAGAUGGGCGGAUUGAGAGUCGGUGUCAUGACAGGACACCCAUCUGUCAUUGGGGGUUUCGGAAUAUCUGCGGUUGAGUGCCUAGUUUUUAGGGUACAGAGCUAAAAAAAAAAGCGACGUGGUGGACGUAAACCAUCGUAAACCAGCGAGUUGUUAUGUCUCCCUGCUCGCUGGGAAAAUGGAGACAUCUCUUUCUCCUUUAUUAAGGAGAGAGAGAACCUGUGGUAUGUUGAGUACGAGGUGAAACGCAAAGCCUUUGGGAUAACUGCAAGUCAGUGCCUUUGCUGUUGCCUUGUUCACGCUUGAGUGCUCAGUGGUGGGUGCCAUGCUUUUUCUUGCCGGUGGGGGUUGUUUGCUGCUGCUUACACAUGGGAGAGGGGAGUUGGGGGUUACUUUGGGGUUCUAACAUUUGACUGUCAUUCAUUCUUUAGGACACUCCUCUGUUUUCAUGAUGGUUUGCGAAGAAAAAGCAUUUCAGGAUGUAUAUUGUAUACAUUCCUCUGACAUUAAAUGUACCUUUGAAACCAUUGAAACUCAUCGAAACCUAUCUACCUACUGAUAGAAUUGGUGUGGAGAGGAUGUUUCCUACAGUGGGACAGUCUAGGACCAGAGGACACAGCCUCAGAAUAGAGGGGUGUCCUGUUAGAUUAGAGAUGAGAAAUUACUUCAGCCAGAGAAUGGUCAAUCUGUGGAAAUCAUUGCUACGGGCAGCUGUGGAGGCCAAGACUUUAUGUAUAUUUAAGGCAAAUGUUGAUAGAUUCUAGACUGGUCAGGGCAGGAAGGGAAAUGGGGAGAAGGCAGGAGAUUGGGGCUGAGAGGAAGAAUGGAGCGGUAGAGCAGACUCGAUGAGUCAAAUGGCCUAAUUCUGCUUCUAUAUCUUAUGAUCUCAUAACUAGGGAGAGGGCAGGACCACUCAGGAUAAAGAGGGGAACAUUUGUUUGGAUCCUGAGAAUGUGAGCAAAGUAAUCAGUGAGUACUUUGCUUCAGUACUUACCAAGGAAAAGGGUAUGGAGAACCAGAGCUGAGUGCAUAAAUACAUUAGGGCAUUUAGAGCUCAAGGAGGAGGAAGUGUUGGGCCUCCUAAUGAGUAUAAAGUUGGAUAAGUCCCAAGGACCCAAUAGGAUUUACCCCAAUUUAUUGAAGGAGGCAGGAGACGAGAUUGCUGGCGCCUCAUGUCCUCUGUAGUGCGGGUAAGGUCCUGCAGGACUGACGAGUGGCUAAGACUGUACCUCUAUGUAAGAAGGGAAAAUCCUGUGAACUAUAGACCAGUGAGUCUCACGUCAGUUGCAGGACAUUUGCUUAAGAAUAUUCUUAGAGAUAGAAUAUAUGAGCAUUUGGAAACCCAUGGCCUAAUUAUGGAGAGUCAGCAUGCCUUUGUGAGGGGCAGGUCAUAUCUUACUAACUUCAUUGAGUUUUUUCUUAAGGUGACAAGAGAGAUUGAUGAAGGUAGGGCAAUGGACGUUGUCUACAUUACUUAGUUAGGCAUUUGACAAAGUGCCUCAUGGGUGACUAAUCCAGAAGAUGAAGAUGCAGUGAAUUAGCUCUUUAGAUUCAGAACUGGUUUGCAUGUAGAAGAUGGGAGAAGUUGAGGGGACUUAUUUGAGCUGGAGGUCUGUGAUUAGUGGAGUUCUACAUGGAUUCGACUAAUGUAGAUGGAUGCGUUAGUAAGUAAGCAGAUAAUACCAAGAUUGGUGGAGUUGUGGAUGGUGUAGAAUCCGGGCAUAGAAUAGAGCAUGACAGAUUAGUUGCAGAUAUGGGCAAAGAAAUGGCAGAUAGAGUUUAACCCAGAUAAAUGUGAGGUGAUCCACCUUGGUAGGGCAAAUGGAAGGAGACAGUACACAGUUAUGGUCAAGAUUCUUAACAGAGUUACUGAUCAGAGAGAUCCGUAGAUCCAAGUUCAACGCUCCUUAAGGUCGAUAAGGUGGUUAAGAAGGCUGAUGGAAUUAUUUUAUUAGUCGAGGCAUUUUAUUAGUGCUUAGGCCACAUCGGGAGUAUUGCAGACAGUUCUGGUUACAGCACUAUAGGAAGGACAUUGAGGUUUUGGAGGGGGUACAGAAGAGGUUUACCAGGAGGCUGUCUGGUUUAAAGGGCAUGUGCUAUUAUGAGAGGCUGGAUAAAUUUGUGUCAUUUUCUCUGGAGCUCAGGCUUAAUUAAGGGAGAUCUCAUAGAAGUCUAUAAGAUUAUGAGAGGCAAAGAUAGUGUAGACCGGGACUAUCUAUUUCCCAGGGCUGAAAUGUCUAAUACCAGAUGGCAUUGAAUGUGAGAGGGCAUAGGUUCAAAGAAGAUGUGAGGGGUAAGUUUUUUACUCACAGAGUGGUGGAUGUCUGGAAUGUGCUGCCUGGUGUGGUGGAAGAGACGAAUAUAUUACAGGCUUUUAAAAGACAUUUGGAUGCGCAUAUGAACGUAAGGAAGAUGGAGGGACAUGAACAUUGUGUAGGUAAGAGGAAUUAGUGUUUGGGUAUUUCUGAAUUGCUUUUUAGUUGGUUCAGCACAAUGCUGUGGGCCGAAUGGCCUGCUCCUAUGCUGUGCAGUUCUAUAUAAAACUUACUUCCCCGUAUUCUUCGAUCCAGCAAUUCCUCCUGCCUCACCGAACUAGAAAUGUAUUGCUCCAGAAAAUUAUCCUGUACACUCUGUGCUUAGUGAUAUUAAUCUUCUAGUUUAUAACACAGGCUUUUAUUUCUCCAAAGCAACCACUACAUAGUUUUCACAAAUAUCUGUAAUCUCUUUGAAUGCUGUUCCUUCUGUCCUACUCAUCCAUCCAUAGAAAUACAUGGCAUAAGUAGGCCUUUUGGCCCAUUGAGCUUGUGCUAUCCAUCAACCAAUCAUAUCAACUAAUUCUACUCUUGUUUUUUAUUCUCAGCACUCCAUCAUCAAUUCCCUCAGAUUUCUACCAUUCAGCUACACGUUAGGGUUAAUAUAACUUAACAACCUGCACACCUUGGGAUGUAGGAGGAAGCCGGUGGGUGGUGGGGGAACCAGAGACCUUGGUGCCUCACCUACUCUUGGGGUUCUUGCAGGUAGAGUGAUAAAAGACCAGUAGCCCAUUCCUAGAAUGAGAGGCUUGUUGAGAAGGAAGGGGGAAAGUUGGGCCUCCGGAGCUUAGAAAUACAGAUCGAAAGGUCUUUGGAAAGAUAAUGCUGGGAAGAGUUCAAUCAAUGGUGGAGUCUCUACCACAAAACCAAAAUGAAGAGUUUCUUCCCUCCUUCCUCUAAAGUUGUGAAUCUUGAGUUUUCUCUAUGCCAGUGAGCUUCAAAGACAGAGUCAUUCAGAACUCAGCUGUUUUCUUAGAUUACAGGGCAUUAAGAUAUAGCAAGUAAAUCAAGGAGAGUCUGAGAUUGUCAGUUGACAUCUUACUGUUCAAUCUCACAGGUCUGCCUCUCCAUCUCCUCUUGUUUUCUGAUCAAUAUUACCUCAAAAUAUCCUGCAGCCGCUGCACUCGAGGAGCUGAAAUAUGAUCUCACCACUUCUCAUGAGGAAGUGGCUUGAAUCUACUGAACAAGUAGUUCAUUCCCAUGAACUUUUGUAUGAACAGCGGGAUAUCAUAUCCUGUGAUGCAUGUGACAGCAUUGCGCAACAUCUCAGACAGGCUCAGAAGAGUGGUUCAGAAGUGAAGACACUGCUGGAGAAAGGUUGCAACUCCUUGUCUGGAACCCAACGUUCUCUGUGUGAAAACUUCGUUCAAUCUUACAAAAAAGAGCUUAGCAAAUUGCUUCAAAAGUCCCAGGAGGAAAAGGACAUUUGUCGGGAACUGGACCUCUGUGUAAGGAAACAGACUGUACGAAUGAUUGGACAGGCUGUAUGUACUUGGGGACCAGCGUACUGGUGUAAGAACCCACGUACAGCCACCAUGUGCAAUGCUUUUGAUUACUGUAAGAAACGCCGCUGGAAACAGGACUAAUUUCAUAUCACUGGUGGAAGGCAACAGAAAUUGAAUACUUAAAAAAAUGCAAAGGCUCUUCCUUUAGUACCAGUUAAAUGAUGAUUCUGCUUGUGUGUGUGCAUGUUUCCUUUAAGCAAUUUUGUGUUGCUGUAGCUUGUGCAUUCAAUGCAAUCUCUUUUAUUGUGAGAUGUUACAGAGACGAGAUUAUUGGUAAUCCUUUACUUCCAGCGAAUCAACAUUGCCAGAUGCUAUAUACGCAGAGUUUCAAUGACAAAUAUUGAUUGGGGUUUUGAUUUCAUCAACUGUAAAAAUUCAGCAGACUAAAGUGCUUUAAGAUCAUGUUCUGUUUCUUAAAUAA